rnacentral:rRNA from 1 species
CCGCGGGAUCUGAAGAGAGGAGCUUGCUCUUCUUGGAUGAGUUGCGAACGGGUGAGUAACGCGUAGGUAACCUGCCUUGUAGCGGGGGAUAACUAUUGGAAACGAUAGCUAAUACCGCAUAACAAUGGAUGACACAUGUCAUUUAUUUGAAAGGGGCAAUUGCUCCACUACAAGAUGGACCUGCGUUGUAUUAGCUAGUAGGUGAGGUAAUGGCUCACCUAGGCGACGAUACAUAGCCGACCUGAGAGGGUGAUCGGCCACACUGGGACUGAGACACGGCCCAGACUCCUACGGGAGGCAGCAGUAGGGAAUCUUCGGCAAUGGGGGCAACCCUGACCGAGCAACGCCGCGUGAGUGAAGAAGGUUUUCGGAUCGUAAAGCUCUGUUGUAAGUCAAGAACGGGUGUGAGAGUGGAAAGUUCACACUGUGACGGUAGCUUACCAGAAAGGGACGGCUAACUACGUGCCAGCAGCCGCGGUAAUACGUAGGUCCCGAGCGUUGUCCGGAUUUAUUGGGCGUAAAGCGAGCGCAGGCGGUUUGAUAAGUCUGAAGUUAAAGGCUGUGGCUCAACCAUAGUUCGCUUUGGAAACUGUCAAACUUGAGUGCAGAAGGGGAGAGUGGAAUUCCAUGUGUAGCGGUGAAAUGCGUAGAUAUAUGGAGGAACACCGGUGGCGAAAGCGGCUCUCUGGUCUGUAACUGACGCUGAGGCUCGAAAGCGUGGGGAGCGAACAGGAUUAGAUACCCUGGUAGUCCACGCCGUAAACGAUGAGUGCUAGGUGUUGGAUCCUUUCCGGGAUUCAGUGCCGCAGCUAACGCAUUAAGCACUCCGCCUGGGGAGUACGACCGCAAGGUUGAAACUCAAAGGAAUUGACGGGGGCCCGCACAAGCGGUGGAGCAUGUGGUUUAAUUCGAAGCAACGCGAAGAACCUUACCAGGUCUUGACAUCCCGAUGCUAUUUCUAGAGAUAGAAAGUUACUUCGGUACAUCGGUGACAGGUGGUGCAUGGUUGUCGUCAGCUCGUGUCGUGAGAUGUUGGGUUAAGUCCCGCAACGAGCGCAACCCCUAUUGUUAGUUGCCAUCAUUCAGUUGGGCACUCUAGCGAGACUGCCGGUAAUAAACCGGAGGAAGGUGGGGAUGACGUCAAAUCAUCAUGCCCCUUAUGACCUGGGCUACACACGUGCUACAAUGGUUGGUACAACGAGUUGCGAGUCGGUGACGGCGAGCUAAUCUCUUAAAGCCAAUCUCAGUUCGGAUUGUAGGCUGCAACUCGCCUACAUGAAGUCGGAAUCGCUAGUAAUCGCGGAUCAGCACGCCGCGGUGAAUACGUUCCCGGGCCUUGUACACACCGCCCGUCACACCACGAGAGUUUGUAACACCCGAAGUCGGUGAGGUAACCUUUUGGAGCCAGCCGCCUAAGGUGGGACAGAUGAUUGGGGUG